GAGUUUGAUCGUGGCUCAGGAUGAACGCUAGCGGCAGGCUUAACACAUGCAAGUCGAGGGGUAGAAGUUGCUUGCAACUUUGAGACCGGCGCACGGGUGCGUAACGCGUAUGCAAUCUACCUUGUACAGGGGGAUAGCCCAGAGAAAUUUGGAUUAAUACCCCAUAGUGUAAUUGAAUGGCAUCAUUUAAUUACUAAAGUUCCAACGGUACAAGAUGAGCAUGCGUCCUAUUAGCUAGUUGGUGUGGUAACGGCAUACCAAGGCUACGAUAGGUAGGGGUCCUGAGAGGGAGAUCCCCCACACUGGUACUGAGACACGGACCAGACUCCUACGGGAGGCAGCAGUGAGGAAUAUUGGACAAUGGGCGCAAGCCUGAUCCAGCCAUGCCGCGUGCAGGAAGACGGUCCUAUGGAUUGUAAACUGCUUUUAUACGGGAAGAAACACUCCUACGUGUAGGAACUUGAACGGUACCGUAAGAAUAAGGAUCGGCUAACUCCGUGCCAGCCGCCGCCGUAACAACU
rnacentral:rRNA from 1 species